UUUCUUUUUCUUUUACAUUCAUUAGCCAUCAGAGAUAACAUUUAUCAAGUUUCUACAGGUUUUAAUUCGUUUUGCAAUCACAUAACCCCAGGAAACAGAGACCAUCCCCACUUUACAGAAGAGGGGCUUGGAGACCCAGAGAGGUUUAAAUCACUUUGCUAAGGUCACACAGCUGGAAGUCUGCAGUGGACCCAAGGUGGUCGAACUCCAGGACCGCCUUGACCACUACAUUAAGUGGCUCCGUAUGGCUACAUUUUUUUUCCCACGUUGUUAAAGAGUGACUAAUGCUGCCUGCCAUCUGUUACCAAGUCCGGUGGCUUUUCCUUCAGCUCCCUCCCGGAAUUGCAGCGCUCCGAACGCCCAUCCCCCCGCCAGAAGCACUUCCUGGCUCAAGCUAUGGCACCCACAGCUGCCACUGAGGCACCAACCAUCUCUGGGCUUCUGGGCCCCAGCACUGCAGGUUCCAACGGCGGAGAAUUCCGUAUGGAGGCUCUUCUUUGUCCUCUGUGCUCACCUGCACACUGCGUGGCCAUAGCUCCCAGCGUGCUCCGCCUCAGACCUCUCCUCCUUCAAAACCCCCAUCCCACCUUCUGUCUCACAUCAGAGCCGACUCUGAAGCCGUUGCCUGUGCCUGGAAUGCUCUCACCCCUCUCACGAAUUCUCUCCCUUUUUGGUACACAGACAGCUUCUGAAACUCCUAUUGGUCCGUGGAAUUUUUCUCUGCUGAUACAGGAGCAAGAGCUGUUCUCCACUUUGCCGAUUCAGAGUAGCUCCUGGAGUCCAGCCUGGCUGAGGCUUGGGGUCCACCACUUACUAGCCCUAUAAACUUGGGCAGGUUUCUAAGUCUCAAUACCUCCUCAUUGGCAUGGGAUAUUCAUACCUGCAGUCAAAGGAUUGUUAUGAGAUUUAAAUAACAUAAUCCAUGAAACGCUCCUAGCACAGAGCUGGCACAAAGUGGCGGGCCUGGGAGCUGGGUGCACACUCUCACAAGUGAACUUCAGGUCUUUUUCAAGAGGUGGAAUCGAUAAAGAGAAAAAGAAGAAGGAAAUGUGGUAGCCAUGAAAAUGUGCCUCUUAGGCCGGAUCCAGUGAGCAUAGUUGACAUACAGCCCCUGCUGCUGGCCCUCUGCACCCACCACCACAUCACGCCGAGGCCUCACUUUCCUGAGCCCAGAGAGCCACUGCACAGGUCCGUUCCUGCAGCAUGCAGGCUCCUCCAUCAGGCAUUAGGUCUGAUGGCUCACCCUCCCUGCUCCUGCUCCCUCCCUUUAUCCUUCACAGGUCCAAGAAAAUGGAUGAGGUUUUGGGACUGACUCCCUCACUGCCCAAGAGGCAAAGAGGAUGGUCACAUCUGUACCACUUACAAAGUAUGUGAUCACAUAGGUGAUGUCGUCUAAUUAUCACAGCAGCCCUGUGGGGUAAGUAUGACAGUCUCCACUUGACUGGUGAGGAAACUGAGGCUGAAAGUAUUUAAAUGUUUGCCCAAGGUCUCAACACUAAUAAAUGGCAUAGCUCAGGCUAAAGUGAGAUCUUCUGACUCCAAACACAAUACUCUUUCUGCCAAUGUAACGAUAGUCAGGUGUUGAUUUAAAAAAUUUUAAACCAACAUAAGAUUAUUACCCAAAUACAAGUAUUUUUCUUUUUUGUAUUUUAAUCUGUUCUAAUAUGCAAAUAUCUUAUACAGGGUUGCCACUAUUGUAUCCAUACACCAUUUUGUAUUCACUUUCUUUCAGUUAGCAUGACAGUGUAAUUAUUUUU
rnacentral:lncRNA from 1 species